UCCUGCAACAUUGGGUAAAUAUCAUUAAGAUAGCAACCCAGAGGUGGACAUUCAUCUGUUGACCAGUUCUCAAGGUGUCACAGUGACCAAAUCUCCACAUCUAAUCUGUUUUCCAACGGGGAACGAGAGAGGAAUGCUUCCCCUCGCUUUAGCCAAUCCCUCUACACCAGGAUCACCCUGUGGAAUAAGCAGGGUUUCUUGGACCCUGGGACUCCUGAUUAUAGACCAAUUCGUUUUUUGUUGGCGGAACCUAUCUGGUGGCAGAAAAUGACAGUUUUUCAGUAGCAGUCUAUGGAAGCCAUGGAAUAAA